rnacentral:lncRNA from 12 species
GGGGGGGGGGGGGGGGGGGGGGCUGCUGUGGCCGGCAGGGGGCGCUGCGCUGGCGAGGCCGUGAGGGGAUUGUGGCCGAGCGCCCGGGCCGGGGUCGCCCCAGAGACAGAGAACAGGGCCCGGGGCCUCUGCGGCCUCAUCGCCGCGAGGGAUGAGUGCAGAAACCCUGUCCAUGAGGAACCACGGCCCGCUCUAGGGCUUUGCAUGGUGACGGGCUUUAGUCUGCAUGAAACAUGCUUGGCUGCGCUUUGGGGCUCUGUGAUGAAUUAACUGCCAGAGGUCAAUACAGAAGGUUCACGUGCCCUUUGGAGUAAAUAUGAAAGAUAAAGACUGAAAGCUGAGCAGACCCUGCACAAAGGGCUCCUGGAGAGACAAAGCUUUGUCACCUGAACCUUGUCUUGGAAAAUACAGCAACAGCCCUUCGCCUUCCUGAAGGGAGCAGCUCCUGUAGCAAGGUACAACAGGGUUCCUUAAACCCCCGUCAUUCUAUCCACCUUCCAGA